GACGAACGCUGGCGGCGUGCUUAACACAUGCAAGUCGAACGGAAAGGCCCUGCUUUUGUGGUGAGCGCGAGGGGCAAACGGGUGAGUAACACGUGUGUAACCUGCCCUUGACUUUGGGAUAACUUCAGGAAACUGGGGCUAAUACCGGAUAGGAGCUCCUUCUGCAGGGUGGGGGUUGGAGAGUUUCGGCGGUGGGGGAUGGACUCGGGGCUUAUCAUCUUGUGGGGGGGGUAGUGGCUUACCAAGCCUUGCACGGGGAGCGGGCCGGAGAGGGUGACCGGCCCCAUUGGGACUGAGAUACGGCCCGGCUUCCUACGGGAGGAAGAAGGGGGGAAUAUGGAACAAUGGGCGGAAGCCGGAUGAAGAAACGCCGCGUGCGGGAUGCCGGCCUUCGGGUUGUAAACCGCUUUCGCCUGUGACGAAGCGUGAGUGACGGUAAUGGGUAAAGAAGCACCGGCUAACUACGUG
rnacentral:rRNA from 1 species